UUAAGCGACUAAGCGUACACGGUGGAUGCCCUGGCAGUCAGAGGCGAUGAAGGACGUGCUAAUCUGCGAAAAGCGUCGGUAAGGUGAUAUGAACCGUUACAGCCGGCGAUGUCCGAAUGGGGAAACCCAGUGCAAUUCGUUGCACUAUCGUUAACUGAAUACAUAGGUUAACGAGGCGAACCGGGGGAACUGAAACAUCUAAGUACCCCGAGGAAAAGAAAUCAACCGAGAUUCCCCCAGUAGCGGCGAGCGAACGGGGAGCAGCCCAGAGUCUGAAUCAGCUUGUGUGUUAGUGGAACGGUCUGGAAAGUCCGACGGUACAGGGUGAUAGUCCCGUACACCAAAAUGCACAGGUUGUGAACUCGAAGAGUAGGGCGGGACACGUGGUAUCCUGUCUGAAUAUGGGGGGACCAUCCUCCAAGGCUAAAUACUCCUGACUGACCGAUAGUGAACCAGUACCGUGAGGGAAAGGCGAAAAGAACCCCGGCGAGGGGAGUGAAAAAGAACCUGAAACCGUGUACGUACAAGCAGUGGGAGCACCUUCGGGUGUGACUGCGUACCUUUUGUAUAAUGGGUCAGCGACUUAUAUUCUGUAGCAAGGUUAACCGUAUAGGGGAGCCGCAGGGAAACCGAGUCUUAACUGGGCGUUAAGUUGCAGGGUAUAGACCCGAAACCCGGUGAUCUAGCCAUGGGCAGGUUGAAGGUUGGGUAACACUAACUGGAGGACCGAACCGACUAAUGUUGAAAAAUUAGCGGAUGACUUGUGGCUGGGGGUGAAAGGCCAAUCAAACCGGGAGAUAGCUGGUUCUCCCCGAAAGCUAUUUAGGUAGCGCCUCGUGAACUCAUCUUCGGGGGUAGAGCACUGUUUCGGCUAGGGGGUCAUCCCGACUUACCAACCCGAUGCAAACUACGAAUACCGAAGAAUGUUAUCACGGGAGACACACGGCGGGUGCUAACGUCCGUCGUGAAGAGGGAAACAACCCAGACCGCCAGCUAAGGUCCCAAAGUCAUGGUUAAGUGGGAAACGAUGUGGGAAGGCACAGACAGCCAGGAUGUUGGCUUAGAAGCAGCCAUCAUUUAAAGAAAGCGUAAUAGCUCACUGGUCGAGUCGGCCUGCGCGGAAGAUGUAACGGGGCUAAACCAUGCACCGAAGCUGCGGCAGCGACACUAUGUGUUGUUGGGUAGGGGAGCGUUCUGUAAGCCUGCGAAGGUGUGCUGUGAGGCAUGCUGGAGGUAUCAGAAGUGCGAAUGCUGACAUAAGUAACGAUAAAGCGGGUGAAAAGCCCGCUCGCCGGAAGACCAAGGGUUCCUGUCCAACGUUAAUCGGGGCAGGGUGAGUCGACCCCUAAGGCGAGGCCGAAAGGCGUAGUCGAUGGGAAACAGGUUAAUAUUCCUGUACUUGGUGUUACUGCGAAGGGGGGACGGAGAAGGCUAUGUUAGCCGGGCGACGGUUGUCCCGGUUUAAGCAUGUAGGCUGNUCCAGGCAAAUCCGGAUAAUCAAGGCUGAGGUGUGAUGACGAGGCACUACGGUGCUGAAGUAACAAAUGCCCUGCUUCCAGGAAAAGCCUCUAAGCAUCAGGUAACAUCAAAUCGUACCCCAAACCGACACAGGUGGUCAGGUAGAGAAUACCAAGGCGCUUGAGAGAACUCGGGUGAAGGAACUAGGCAAAAUGGUGCCGUAACUUCGGGAGAAGGCACGCUGGUGUGUAGGUGAAGUCCCUGCGGAUGGAGCUGAGACCAGUCGAAGAUACCAGCUGGCUGCAACUGUUUAUUAAAAACACAGCACUGUGCAAACACGAAAGUGGACGUAUACGGUGUGACGCCUGCCCGGUGCCGGAAGGUUAAUUGAUGGGGUUAUCCGUAAGGAGAAGCUCUUGAUCGAAGCCCCGGUAAACGGCGGCCGUAACUAUAACGGUCCUAAGGUAGCGAAAUUCCUUGUCGGGUAAGUUCCGACCUGCACGAAUGGCGUAAUGAUGGCCAGGCUGUCUCCACCCGAGACUCAGUGAAAUUGAACUCGCUGUGAAGAUGCAGUGUACCCGCGGCAAGACGGAAAGACCCCGUGAACCUUUACUAUAGCUUGACACUGAACAUUGAGCCUUGAUGUGUAGGAUAGGUGGGAGGCUUUGAAGCGUGGACGCCAGUCUGCGUGGAGCCAACCUUGAAAUACCACCCUUUAAUGUUUGAUGUUCUAACGUUGGCCCCUGACCGGGGUUGCGGACAGUGUCUGGUGGGUAGUUUGACUGGGGCGGUCUCCUCCCAAAGCGUAACGGAGGAGCACGAAGGUUAGCUAAUCCUGGUCGGACAUCAGGAGGUUAGUGCAAUGGCAUAAGCUAGCUUGACUGCGAGCGUGACGGCGCGAGCAGGUGCGAAAGCAGGUCAUAGUGAUCCGGUGGUUCUGAAUGGAAGGGCCAUCGCUCAACGGAUAAAAGGUACUCCGGGGAUAACAGGCUGAUACCGCCCAAGAGUUCAUAUCGACGGCGGUGUUUGGCACCUCGAUGUCGGCUCAUCACAUCCUGGGGCUGAAGUAGGUCCCAAGGGUAUGGCUGUUCGCCAUUUAAAGUGGUACGCGAGCUGGGUUUAGAACGUCGUGAGACAGUUCGGUCCCUAUCUGCCGUGGGCGCUGGAGAAUUGAGGGGGGCUGCUCCUAGUACGAGAGGACCGGAGUGGACGCAUCACUGGUGUUCGGGUUGUCAUGCCAAUGGCACUGCCCGGUAGCUAAAUGCGGAAGAGAUAAGUGCUGAAAGCAUCUAAGCACGAAACUUGCCCCGAGAUGAGUUCUCCCUGAGACUUUAAGUCUCCUGAAGGAACGUUGAAGACGACGACGUUGAUAGGCCGGGUGUGUAAGCGCAGCGAUGCGUUGAGCUAACCGGUACUAAUGAACCGUGAGGCUUAACCUU
rnacentral:rRNA from 1 species